rnacentral:rRNA from 1 species
AGGUCCUACGGGAGGCAGCAGUAGGGAAUCUUCGGCAAUGGACGAAAGUCUGACCGAGCCACGCCGCGUGAGUGAAGAAGGUUUUCGGAUCGUAAAACUCUGUUGGUAGAGAAGAACGUUGGUGAGAGUGGAAAGCUCAUCAAGUGACGGUAACUACCCAGAAAGGGACGGCUAACUACGUGCCAGCAGCCGCGGUAAUACGUAGGUCCCGAGCGUUGUCCGGAUUUAUUGGGCGUAAAGCGAGCGCAGGUGGUUUAUUAAGUCUGGGGUAAACAGCAGUGGCUCAAGCAUUGUAUGCAUUGGAA